CCCGGGGGGUCCCACGCGGAGACUGCUGGACGCCCGCUCCCUCUGUCACCUCCGGCUCAGAUCCCUUCAUGAGGCUGUGAGCUUUGAGGCACAAGCAUGCAGACCGGGCUUCCCCGAGCGCUGGCCGCCCUGGGCGUGGCCCUACUCCUGUCUUCUAUUGAGGCAGAAGGUCCAGCUCUUGUAUUCUGCUCCCCCUAUUCUGUACAGUGCUGUGUGGUCUCCUUGCACUUGUCUUUGCAGUGUGCUGUCCACACUGCCACCAACACUGCUGCCUUCCUUGAGGAUCAGUUCCCUGAAUAGGGCAACAGCUCUGUCAAGAGGAUCCCAGACGUCUGGCCACGAGGAACCUCAGAAUAUGGACAUCCUUACAG
rnacentral:lncRNA from 1 species